GGCGCGGCGCGGGCGAUGAGCCGGGGCCCGGCAUGGCCUCCGCGCGGCCGCCGGGCCGGGCCUGCGCCUCGGCGCCCGCGCCCGCGGGGCUCCGGGCCGGGCCGCCCGCCCUCCCCUCCGCCGCCGCCGCCGCCGCCUCCCCGGAGCCUGCGGGCGGCGCGGAGGCCGAGGAGCGCUCGCUGCAGCACAUGCUGUGCGCCAUAGCCGAGGAGCGCGGCCGCCUCAGCCUGCGCCGCGAGGUCUGCGGCCUCGGGUGCUUCAAGGAUGACCGCAUCGUCUUCUGGACUUGGAUGUUCUCUACCUACUUCAUGGAGAAGUGGGCCCCGCGGCAAGACGACAUGCUCUUCUACGUGCGCCGGAAGCUGGCGUACGUGGGCAGCGAGGGCGCCGUCGACGGGCGGAAGCUGGCUGAGGCCGAGCCCGAGGUGGAGGUGGAGGUGUACCGGCGGGACUCCAAGAAGCUGCCGGGCCUCGGAGACCCUGACAUCGACUGGGAGGAGAGCGUCUGCCUGAACCUCAUCCUGCAGAAGCUGGACUACAUGGUGACGUGUGCUGUGUGCACACGGGCUGAUGGGGGCGACAUCCACAUCCAUAAGAAGAAAUCCCAGCAAGUGUUCGCAUCCCCCAGUAAACAUCCCAUGGACAGCAAAGGGGAAGAAUCCAAGAUCAGCUACCCCAACAUCUUCUUCAUGAUCGACAGCUUCGAGGAGGUGUUCUGCGACAUGACCGUGGGCGAAGGAGAGAUGGUCUGUGUGGAGCUGGUGGCCAGUGACAAAACCAACACGUUCCAAGGGGUCAUCUUUCAGGGCUCCAUCCGCUACGAGGCGCUCAAGAAGGUGUACGACAACCGCGUGAGUGUGGCGGCCCGCAUGGCGCAGAAGAUGUCCUUUGGCUUCUACAAGUACAACAACAUGGAGUUUGUGCGCAUGAAGGGGCCACAGGGCAAGGGCCACGCUGAGAUGGCAGUCAGCCGUGUGUCCACCGGUGACACGUCCCCCUGCGGGACCGAAGAGGACUCCAGCCCGGCUUCGCCCAUGCACGAGCGGGUGACCUCCUUCAGCACUCCCCCAACGCCUGAGCGCAACCACCGGCCCGCCUUCUUCUCCCCGUCCCUCAGGAGGAAGGUGCCCCGGAGCCGCAUGGCGGAGAUGAAGAAGUCUCACUCGGCCAACGACAGCGAGGAGCUCUUCCGGGAGGAUGACGGGGGAGGUGACCCUGCCCCUCCCCGGGCUCCUUGCUCCCCUCCUCCGCAGUUAGAGAGCCGGCAGCCGACCUGCACAACGCCACCAACCUGCGGUCUCGGUCCCUGUCCGGCACGGGGCGCUCCCUGGUCGGGUCCUGGCUGAAGCUGAACAGAACAGACGGGAAUUUCCUUCUUUAUGCACAUUUAACCUACGUCACUUUGCCGCUGCACCGGAUUUUAACAGACAUCCUGGAAGUACGGCAGAAGCCCAUCCUGAUGACCUAGCCGUGAGCGGAGCCCACGCGGAGCCUCCAGCCCUGCCCAGGCCUGGGGGCGCUGCCAAGUGCCUACCUGUCCACCGCCACUGGGGUCUUCCAGGACCACCCAGCGCCGCAGCCGGAGCCAGGCGGGACCACUCGACUCCCGGGGCCGGGGCCAGCUCCACCAACACCAGCCCAAACUGAAGUGCCUCGUUCUCCUCCCCGCUGGCUCUGCUCCUGCCCCUGCGCCCACCCACCCGGCACCCUCCGCCCAUCUCUGGAGAACCCUCUGCACCCAGAGAGGACCAGAGAUGCCAAGAGGCAUAAGAGAGAGCAGAGGAGCAGCCAGCAUCCAGAAGAGUCCAGCCCUACGGACCCGAUGUACGCAUCCCGACAGACAGCAGGCAGAGACCAUUGGCUGGGGGCACGCGGUGUGUCAGACUGUCAGCACUUAAGGAACAGCGGUUUCAGGUUUUGUGACACUGUACCGAUGACCUUCAGCGUCCAAGUUAGUCCCGAUCGUCUGUCCUCCCUCGUUUACUCCUGGUUGUAGAUGGGUUUCCGCGGGGAGCGGGGAACACGGCUGUCUGAUGGUGUUGCCCUGGGCUGGGAAUACCUCGCCCCGUGCCCGGCCCCAGACAGGCCCCCACCUGCCAGCAUGGCCUUUGCUUCCAGCCAAAGAACAUCAUCACCAACACACACCCCUCCAGCGCGGGGACAGCCAUCCUGUCCGCGCCUCAGCUGGCGUGGCCUGCACAGUUUGGAUUCUGAGGGCAGGAGGGAGGGCUUGGUAGCCAGACAGGAGAAGGGUGGGGUCCCUGCCAAAGGGCAAGGAGGGGUCUGCGUUCUCCCGGGAAGGUUCCAGGCAGAACCUCCGUCCCCUGGGGCCGGGGGAGGGGACAGGGUGUUUCAUCUUCCCUGGUUUCCUAGAGCUCAUUUCCUUUGACUGGGCGUGCUGGUCCCAUUUCUCAGACCAGUCACUGAGGCAAAGGGGAACUGGCUUCCACGUGGCUUGUCAGACCUCGUUCCAGCUUGAAGCGUUUCCACCUAUGGUGACACAUUGUGCUGUUCUCAAAACCGCGAGCCUCCUCAAGAACAGAAGUGUUUCCCCUGCCCACGGGAGUCAGCCGUCAGCUGGGUCCCUGCUGCUCUGUUUUGCUUGCGUCCUCAGGAGUGUUUGUUUGAAGGGUUCCUGGUGUACUAGGGUUAGAGAUCCUCUGGGGGAGAAGAGGGAGAGGAGGAGGGGCUUGUUUUCCCGUCCGUUUCCAUUCUGCGCGUUCUGAGGGUUUGCGCUGGGCUCCAGGAACCGGGGACUACUUUCGGGCUUCUCCAGAUUUUGUAUGCUGUUAUUAAAAGCGAGCUACUGCAUUUCA